CUGCCCUGAUGCAUGUCACCAUUAUGGCUGCAAGAGCAUUAUGGGAGAUGUAGUCUACCACAUUGAGAGUGCUGAGGGUCUCCUACCCAAGAAGAAACUUGAAAAGUCCUUUCUAGUGCUUAACCAAUGCCCUCAAAUAGUUCCAAAUGUUUAUGCAUUACCAAAAGCACAUCAUAAGCACCUCCCUUGACAUGAUAAUGUUUGUAACUAACAAUUCUUUGUUAAAG